GGGUUCCUGAAGCUCAAUUGGUAGAGCGUGGCGCUUGCAACGCCAAGGUCAUGGGUUUGAUUCCCAGGGAACACA